GAUGGGGUCGCGGCCCAUUAGGUAGACGGCGGGGUAACGGCCCACCGUGCCCGCGAUGGGUAGCCGGACUGAGAGGUCGACCGGCCACAUUGGGACUGAGAUACGGCCCAGACUCCUACGGGAGGCAGCAGUGGGGAAUUUUGCGCAAUGGGGGAAACCCUGACGCAGCAACGCCGCGUGCGGGACGAAGGUCUUCGGAUUGUAAACUUCUUUUAUUAAGGACGAAGAAAGUGACGGUACUUAAUGAAUAAGCUCCGGCUAACUACGUGCCAGCAGCCGCGGUAAUACGUAGGGAGCAAGCGUUGUCCGGAUUUACUGGGUGUAAAGGGAGCGCAGGCGGGAAGACAAGUUGGAAGUGAAAUCCAUGGGCUCAACCCAUGAACUGCUUUCAAAACUGUUUUUCUUGAGUAGUGCAGAGGUAGGCGGAAUUCCCGGUGUAGCGGUGGAAUGCGUAGAUAUCGGGAGGAACACCAGUGGCGAAGGCGGCCUACUGGGCACCAACUGACGCUGAGGCUCGAAAGUGUGGGUAGCAAACAGGAUUAGAUACCCUGGUAGUCCACACUGUAAACGAUGAUUACUAGGUGUUGGAGGAUUGACCCCUUCAGUGCCGCAGUUAACACAAUAAGUAAUCCACCUGGGGAGUACGACCGCAAGGUUGAAACUCAAAGGAAUUGACGGGGGCCCGCACAAGCAGUGGAGUAUGUGGUUUAAUUCGACGCAACGCGAAGAACCUUACCAAGUCUUGACAUCCCUUGACGAUGCUGGAAACAGUAUUUCUCUUCGGAGCAAGGAGACAGGUGGUGCAUGGUUGUCGUCAGCUCGUGUCGUGAGAUGUUGGGUUAAGUCCCGCAACGAGCGCAACCCUUAUGGUCAGUUACUACGCAAGAGGACUCUGGCCAGACUGCCGUUGACAAAACGGAGGAAGGUGGGGAUGACGUCAAAUCAUCAUGCCCUUUAUGACUUGGGCUACACACGUACUACAAUGGCGUUAAACAAAGAGAAGCAAGACCGCGAGGUGGAGCAAAACUCAGAAACAACGUCCCAGUUCGGACUGCAGGCUGCAACUCGCCUGCACGAAGUCGGAAUUGCUAGUAAUCGUGGAUCAGCAUGCCACGGUGAAUACGUUCCCGGGCCUUGCACACACCGCCCGUCA
rnacentral:rRNA from 1 species